AAUCGAAUUGAUCUCCUGUGUGAGGUGUUCACUAAAUUCAUGAUCUCGUGAAAUUACUUUUACUUUUUGUAGUUAUGUAAGCAAUGCCAUAUAUAAUUUUUCAUUUCCAUCUAAAGAGGAACAUAUAUAUUCUUAACUCUUGUACAUAGCAUUCCCAUAUUGUCAUUGUUAUUUACACAGUCUUAUAUAUUAGAUUUGUACAAAAAUGACUUUAAUCACUAAUUACAGAUGGGUGGGGCAUCAUUAUUUG
rnacentral:misc_RNA from 1 species